rnacentral:rRNA from 1 species
AUUGAACGCUGGCGGCAUGCUUUACACAUGCAAGUCGAACGGUAACAGGCCGCAAGGUGCUGACGAGUGGCGAACGGGUGAGUAAUGCAUCGGAACGUGCCCAGUCGUGGGGGAUAACUACUCGAAAGAGUAGCUAAUACCGCAUACGAUCUAUGGAUGAAAGCGGGGGACCGUAAGGCCUCGCGCGAUUGGAGCGGCCGAUGUCAGAUUAGGUAGUUGGUGGGGUAAAGGCUCACCAAGCCAACGAUCUGUAGCUGGUCUGAGAGGACGACCAGCCACACUGGGACUGAGACACGGCCCAGACUCCUACGGGAGGCAGCAGUGGGGAAUUUUGGACAAUGGGCGCAAGCCUGAUCCAGCAAUGCCGCGUGCAGGAAGAAGGCCUUCGGGUUGUAAACUGCUUCUGUACGGAACGAAACGGCUCUGGUUAAUACCCGGGGCUAAUGACGGUACCGGAAGAAUAAGCACCGGCUAACUACGUG